rnacentral:rRNA from 1 species
UACGAAGGGGCUAGCGUUGUUCGGAAUCACUGGGCGUAAAGGGCGCGUAGGCGGCCAGCACAAGUCAGUUGUGAAAUCUCCGAGCUUAACUCGGAAAGGUCAACUGAUACUGUGCGGCUAGAGUGCGGAAGGGGCAACUGGAAUUCUUGGUGUAGCGGUGAAAUGCGUAGAUAUCAAGAGGAACACCAGUGGCGAAGGCGGUUGCCUGGAGCUUUGCUGACGCUGAGGCGCGAAAGCGUGGGGAGCGAUCCGG